rnacentral:rRNA from 1 species
GACAGAGGAUGCAAGCGUUAUCCGGAAUGAUUGGGCGUAAAGCGUCUGUAGGUGGCUUUUCAAGUCCGCCGUCAAAUCCCAGGGCUCAGCCCUGGACAGGCGGUGGAAACUACCAAGCUGGAGUACGGUAGGGGCAGGAGGGAAUUCCGGUGGAGCGGUGAAAUGCAUUGAGAUCGGAAGAACACCAACGGCGAAAGCACUCUGCUGGGACCGACACUGACACUGAGAGAC